rnacentral:rRNA from 1 species
GGGGAAUAUUGGACAAUGGGCGCAAGCCUGAUCCAGCCAUGCCGCGUGAGUGAUGAAGGCCUUAGGGUUGUAAAGCUCUUUCAACGGUGAAGAUAAUGACGGUAACCGUAGAAGAAGCCCCGGCUAACUUCGUGCCAGCAGCCGCGGUAAUACGAAGGGGGCUAGCGUUGUUCGGAAUUACUGGGCGUAAAGCGCACGUAGGCGGAUCAGUCAGUUAGGGGUGAAAUCCCAGGGCUCAACCCUGGAACUGCCUUUAAUACUGCUGAUCUAGAGUUCGAGAGAGGUGAGUGGAAUUCCGAGUGUAGAGGUGAAAUUCGUAGAUAUUCGGAGGAACACCAGUGGCGAAGGCGGCUCACUGGCUCGAGACUGACGCUGAGGUGCGAAAGCGUGGGGAGCAAAC